rnacentral:rRNA from 1 species
UACGUAGGUGGCAAGCGUUGUCCGGAUUUAUUGGGUUUAAAGGGUGCGUAGGCGGCCUCAUAAGUCAGUGCUGAAAUAUCCCGGCUUAACCGGGAGGGUGGCAUUGAUACUGUGGGGCUUGAGUAAAGUCGAGGUAGGCGGAAUUGACGGUGUAGCGGUGAAAUGCUUAGAUAUCGUCAAGAACACCGAUAGUGCAGACAGCUUACUAGGCUUUAACUGACGCUGAGGCACGAAAGUGUGGGGAUCAAACAGGAUUAGAAACCCCCGUAGUCC